CGCCAUAUCAUGUUGAAACUUCGCUUCCCGUAUAACCACCGAAGUUAAGCAGCGUCGAGCCUGGUUAGUACAUAAAUGCAUGACCGCUUGAGAAUCCCAACUGUUGUAAU